rnacentral:lncRNA from 1 species
UAAACAUUUUAGCAAUUUCUUCUUUCCUGCCUGCUGAAGACUGACUUCCUCCUGCUGCCAAAGUUCUAGAGUCUGGACGUCUGAGAUCAGGGUGCCAGCACUGUCGAGGUCACAGACUGCAGACCUCCUUGUAUCUUCAAAUGGAGGAAAGAGGACAAGAGAGCUCCUGUGGUCCCUUUUAUCAAGAUGAAUGCACAAGGAAAAUGUUGUACAUUUGCACAUUGGAGUACACUUCAGCCAUAAAAAGAAUGAGAUGCUGUCAUUUGCAACAACAGGCCUGAUAAUAUUGAACAUCCUUGCAUCCAUUAAAGUUUACUGUUCUAAGACUUACUUUAACCAAGGUCAACAGCAAUCUGAGACACACUCUUCUCAUGGCAGAUUAUGGGACCAUAAAGCAGGUAAGUAGUUAAGUUUUUGGCUCAGAACUAAUAGACUGAUAUUUCUUUCUACAUUUCUUUCACCAAAAUAAGUCAUGGCUAAGAGCAACAUUAAUAGUGCAAGGAAAUAUUCUACGCAUCUUCUGCCACAAGGUAGGAGGAAUUGAACAGCGGAAAACAAUAACCCAAGCUAACACACCAGGACAUUUAAUAUGUAUAGCUUUCAUUAUAAUAUAUUCAAAUAUAUAUUAAAUAAUUGUGAAUAUUUGCUUCUCCUGGUUUAACAAAAGGUAUGCCAAAAUUCACUUAUUCUGACAUCAUGGACUCUAUU